rnacentral:lncRNA from 1 species
UCAGGAUCAACCUUGAAUCUUUCUUUUUAUUGUAGAUUCUUCUUCUCCAAGUAGAAUCUCAGCUUUUAGAACCUUUGAUCAACUUUUGAUAUUUAACCGCAAACUCAACACUUGAGCAGCAGUCUUUCUCCUCAUUCUUGAUGUAGAAGCAAUCAUCCUCUUUAACUUAGGCAUGUGAGAAGAUGGGAUGCCCAACUCUUGGGCAUUGGAAAGAGGGGAAGAAGGAGAGAUGGCAUGGAGAAGGAG